CCUAUCAGCUUUCGACGGUAGGGUAUUGGCCUACCGUGGCAGUGACGGGUAACGGGGAAUUAGGGUUCGAUUCCGGAGAGGGAGCCUGAGAAACGGCUACCACAUCUAAGGAAGGCAGCAGGCGCGCAAAUUACCCAAUGAAAACAGUUUCGAGGUAGUGACGAGAAAUAACAAUACAGGGCAUUUUAUGCUCUGUAAUUGGAAUGAUGGGAAUGUAAAACCCUUUCAGAGUAACAAUUGGAGGGCAAGUCUGGUGCCAGCAGCCGCGGUAAUUCCAGCUCCAAUAGUGUAUAUUAGAGUUGUUGCAGUUAAAAAGCUCGUAGUUGGAUUUCUGUCGUGGUCAUCCGGUACCGCCCGUAUGGGUGUGCACCUGGUUUGCCCUCGGCUUUCUUCCGGUAGCCUUCCGCGCUUAACUGCGUGUGUUGGUGUUUCGGAACUU
rnacentral:rRNA from 1 species